UACAGAGGUCCCAAGCGUUGUUCGGAUUCAUUGGGCGUAAAGGGUGCGUAGGCGGCCAACUAAGUCAGACGUGAAAUCCCUCGGCUUAACCGGGGAACUGCGUCUGAUACUGGAUGGCUUGAGGUUGGGAGAGGGAUGCGGAAUUCCAGGUGUAGCGGUGAAAUGCGUAGAUAUCGGGAGGAACACCUGUGGCGAAGGCGGCCCCCUGGUUGGAUACUGACGCUGAGACGCGAAAGCGUGGGGAGCAAACAGG
rnacentral:rRNA from 1 species